GGCUCAAUAUAGUGGUAGCUUUUAAUCAAGGUGUCCGGAGUUCGAAUCUCCGAUGGGUCACCA
rnacentral:tRNA from 1 species